AUUGUUUAAAUAUGCAGUUUUUUUGUCAGUAUCAAAGUGUGCAAGACAUUCGGAAGUUAAAAUGGCAUUUCGUAAUUGACGUGCAUCACGUGAGAGCGAAUUGGUUAAAUUUCCUUAGAUUCAUCUCAAAUUUAAUAACAAAGUAGAUCAUAUGCUCUCAAAUAUGUAUAAAAAGAACUCAAUUCCUCAAAACAUGCUUAAACGUUUUUUUUCAGUAUAUAUUUCAGAGAGAUGCAUUGAAUUAUAAAGAAAAUGGCGGAAAUAUGAGUUGAUUGCGUUUUACAUUUAUUGCUCGUUUGUUUUAUGACGUAAAAAAAUUGAAAGCUGGCAACCUAGUCUGAUUGAAGACGAAUGCUUAAAUAUCGAGAUUUCCAGAAUUUUACGGAUUGGCCAGGAUUUCUUUCGGAUUUUCAUCUUGCAGUCAUUGUAACUCUUCAAAUGAAUUUUAAAGUCUGAAAAAUCUGUAAAGGUUUUGGAGCGAAAUCGCCAUUCUGAUACCUAUGAAGCAUGAUCUUACAAAAUCGUUUUCCAUAAAGACGAUAUGAAACUGAUAAAAGGGAUGCUCCUAAUCAUCAAUUAGUGCAGUGAUGCAGCUAAAAAAAACUUUAUCAGAGAGGUGGUGCCAUCUAGAAAUUAAACUGAGAAAUAUUAACUUUCUUAUUAAGUAAUUAGAACGCAAAUAAUGAGGAAAUAUAUUAAAGAUUAAAAAGUGAAAACAUUAAAUAUACAACUUAUUAAUUCAGAUAAUGUGAUAAAUUAAAAAAGAAGUAAAAAAUUUCCUUCUAAAUCUAGAAAUGUUUUAAAGAGAUUAAAACUUUGAAAUGUGAUUAAAAUUUCAGAAUACUUACAUUAUAAAAUGACAAGAUUUUACAAUUUGGUUUUGACAUCCAUAUUUUGAUUUUAAAAAAUUAAGUAUAUUAGAAGACAUUUGUAGGCAAAUAGUUUUAAAGUGGAUAGUCUUUUUUUAUAUUUUAAAGGGGAUAGUUUUACAUUUAGUUCUUUUUAACUGGUGAAUGCAUCAUGAACGUAUAUUUUUUUAAAUAUAAGAAGCACCUUUAUCAGUGAAUUAACAAAAACCAAAAAUAACAUUUUUAUCAAAGCUUUGGAUAUCAAAACAAAAGAACAGUACUGCAUAUUAAGGCCUUUGUCUAUAGAUAAACGUUUUAAAUCCACAGCGAAAUUCGUAAGAAAAAAUUACAAUCUUUUUGUAAAAACUAAAAUAAGGACAGAGAAAUAUUAACAUUCUUAUUAAGAAAUUAGAAUGCAAAUAAUGAUGAAAUAUAUUAAAGAUUAUAAAGUGAAAUAUUAAACUU